rnacentral:rRNA from 1 species
GUCGAGAAUCUUCCGCAAUGCGCGAAAGCGUGACGGAGCGACACCGCGUGAUGGAUGAAGUCCUUCGGGGCGUAAACAUCUUUUAUAAAGGAGGAAAUUUUUGACGUUACUUUAUGAAUAAGGGGCUCCCAAUCUCGUGCCAGCAGGAGCGGUAAUACGAGAGCCUCAAGCGUUAUCCGGAAUCAUUGGGCGUAAAGGGUGCGUAGGUGGUUUGAUUAGUCUCCCGUUAAAACUUCGAGCUUAACUCGAAAAGAGCGGGGGAAACGGUCAAACUAGAGUAUGUGAGAGGUGUGUGGAACUCAUGGUGUAGGGGUGAAAUCCGUUGAUAUCAUGGGGAACACCAAAAGCGAAGGCAGCACACUGGCACAUCACUGACACUGAGGCACGAAACCUAAGGUAGCGAAUGGGAUUAGAAACCCCUGUAGUCC